CCUACGGGCGGCAGCAGUGAGGAAUAUUGGUCAAUGGGCGCGAGCCUGAACCAGCCAAGUAGCGUGAAGGAUGACUGCCCUACGAGUUGUAAACUUCUUUUGUACAGGAAUAAAGUGCGGCACGUGUGCCUUUUUGUAUGUACUUUAUGAAUAAGGAUCGGCUAACUCCGUGCCAGCAGCCGCGGUAAUACGGAGGAUCCGAGCGUUAUCCGGAUUUAUUGGGUUUAAAGGGAGCGUAGAUGGGUUGUUAAGUCAGUGGUGAAAGAUCGCGGCUCAACCUUGAAAUUGCAAUUGAUACUGGCAGACUUGAGAACAGAUGAGGUAGGCGGAAUGUGUGGUGUAGCGGUGAAAUGCAUAGAUAUCACGAAGAACUCCGAUUGCGAAGGCAGCUUACUAAGCCGGCACUGACACUGAUGCUCGAAAGUGUGGGGAUCAAACAGGAUUAGAUACCCUAGUAGUC
rnacentral:rRNA from 1 species